rnacentral:rRNA from 1 species
UACGAAGGGUGCAAACGUUGCUCGGAAUCAUUGGGCGUAAAGCGCACGUAGGCGGCCUCAAAAGUCGGAUGUGAAAUCCCGUGGCUCAACCAUGGACGUGCAUUCGAAACUGCGAGGCUUGAGUAUGGAAGAGGGUCGCGGAAUUCCCGGUGUAGAGGUGAAAUUCGUAGAUAUCGGGAGGAACACCAGUGGCGAAGGCGACUCUCUGGUCUGUAACUGACGCUGAGGAGCGAAAGCGUGGGGAGCAAACAGG